rnacentral:rRNA from 1 species
CCUACGGGAGGCAGCAGUGAGGAAUAUUGGUCAAUGGGCUUACGCCUGAACCAGCCAAGUCGCGUGAGGGAAGACUGCCCUAUGGGUUGUAAACCUCUUUUGUCAGGGAGCAACGCCGGCUACGUGUAGCCGGACUGAGAGUACCUGAAGAAAAAGCAUCGGCUAACUCCGUGCCAGCAGCCGCGGUAAUACGGAGGAUGCGAGCGUUAUCCGGAUUGAUUGGGUUUAAAGGGUGCGUAGGCGGAAUGCCAAGUCAGCGGUAAAAUCGCGGGGCUCAACCUCGCUCCGCCGUUGAAACUGGCGUUCUUGAGUGGGCGAGAGGUAUGCGGAAUGCGUGGUGUAGCGGUGAAAUGCAUAGAUAUCACGCAGAACUCCGAUUGCGAAGGCAGCAUACCGGCGCCCAACUGACGCUGAAGCACGAAAGCGUGGGUAUCGAACAGGAUUAGAUACCCUUGUAGUC